rnacentral:rRNA from 2 species
UACGUAGGGUGCAAGCGUUGUCCGGAAUUAUUGGGCGUAAAGAGCUCGUAGGCGGUUUGUCGCGUCUGCUGUGAAAACCCGAGGCUCAACCUCGGGCUUGCAGUGGGUACGGGCAGACUAGAGUGCGGUAGGGGAGAAUGGAAUUCCUGGUGUAGCGGUGGAAUGCGCAGAUAUCAGGAGGAACACCGAUGGCGAAGGCAGUUCUCUGGGCCGUAACUGACGCUGAGGAGCGAAAGCAUGGGGAGCGAACAGG